rnacentral:sRNA from 16 species
GGAUAAUCCCGGGCAACCGGGGAAAGGUUGGCGGCAGCUGGUGCCGCCCUCCCCUUGCAACCGCGUCAGCGGAUUGAAAGGCACAUAUCACCAGCUCCUCUGAUCCGGAGUCGUGUCCGGUCAGUUCACACGAACCAGGAGCUGAGCGGCGAGCGGCGAUUAGAAACCGCGCGCGAGCCGAGUCAGGCCCACAGGAAGUUUCGACCUGUGCGCCGACGCAGUUACCCAGAGGGUUUUGGUUGCUACUGCGCAGACCAGAACGCAGUCGCGUUUCCCGGCGGGCCCACCCCGCCAAAAGGCCCCGCUCGUUCGCGCGAGCAGGGCGCGCAAGGGAAGCGUGGCGGCGGGGAGUGAGCGGGCCUGGCAAAGCUCGUCAACCUCCUCAAAUUGGGGCGGCGUGAAAAACCGCGUCACCCCACUGCAAAAGCGAAUGCAACCUGAGAGUUAAGAGGUCAGACCCGUAACGCGGGGCCAACGUCCGGCCAAAAGUCGGAGCCGUCCCCGUGGCAACGGUGCCGACGCGAAGGUAAGAUUUGCAGGCGUGUCCGCACCACGUCCGGCGAGCCGCUUCCGGCAGGGAGCGUCCGAACCGGGCGAAGAGGCCUCACUCGAUAGAUCCCGAUCGGAAACGGUCAGGACGGUCCCGCCAUGAGACCGAGACAUCCGCAUGCCGCGGAGAGUGGCGUCGGGGAGCACACGGCCCGCGAAAGCGAGGCGCCCAACAGUGUGCCGACGGGAAAGAGCGCGUGGCGAACGCC